rnacentral:rRNA from 1 species
UGGGGAAUAUUGCACAAUGGGGGAAACCCUGAUGCAGCAACGCCGCGUGAGUGAUGAAGGCCUUCGGGUUGUAAAGCUCUGUCUUUGGGGACGAUAAUGACGGUACCCAAGGAGGAAGCCACGGCUAACUACGUGCCAGCAGCCGCGGUAAUACGUAGGUGGCAAGCGUUGUCCGGAUUUACUGGGCGUAAAGGAUGCGUAGGCGGAUAUUUAAGUGAGAUGUGAAAUACCCGGGCUCAACUUGGGUGCUGCAUUUCAAACGGGAUAUCUAGAGUGCAGGAGAGGAAAGUGGAAUUCCUAGUGUAGCGGUGAAAUGCGUAGAGAUUAGGAAGAACAUCAGUGGCGAAGGCGACUUUCUGGACUGUAACUGACGCUGAGGCAUGAAAGCGUGGGGAGCAAACA